CAAUUUCCUGUUUUUCGCAAUUUGCUGUCAUCGUUGCGUUCGUGUUGGUGAAUUUUUGAUUCGUUCCUGUUUAAAAUAUAACUAUUUAUUUUCUUUCCGUGUCAAUUUUCUUAAUUACGUACUAAGUAUGUCUUCUGGUCGUAACGAUUGUAGAAUAUAUGUAGGCAAUUUACCUCCGGAUAUUCGUACGAAAGAUAUACAAGAUUUGUUUUACAAGUUCGGUAAAGUGACUUUUGUCGACUUGAAGAAUCGACGAGGGCCACCAUUUGCUUUUGUAGAAUUCGAAGAUCCUAGAGACGCCGAAGAUGCUGUUCACGCCCGGGACGGAUACGAUUACGAUGGUUAUCGACUAAGGGUUGAAUUUCCUCGAGGAGGCGGUAGUGGUGGUGGUGGAGGCGGUGGAAGCCGCGGAGGCAGUUUUAGGGGGGGCGGCGGUGGCGGACGUGGAAGAGGCGCCAGGGGCCCCCCUGCACGCAGAAGCCAGUACAGAGUACUUGUUACGGGUUUACCACCUAGUGGCUCUUGGCAAGACUUAAAAGAUCACAUGAGGGAAGCUGGCGAUGUUUGUUUUGCCGAUGCUUUCAAGGACGGCUCCGGUGUCGUUGAGUUCCUAAGAUAUGAGGACAUGAAAUAUGCUAUUAAAAAGUUGGACGAUUCCAGAUUUAGAAGUCAUGAGGGUGAAGUUUCGUACAUUCGUGUAAAAGAGGACAGAGGUGGAAGCGGAGAGGGUCGUAGGUCGGGCGGCAGAUCCCGAUCUCGUUCCUAUUCGCCGCGUCGUCGUGGUUCUCCCACGUACAGUCCCGUCAGGCGUAGCUAUUCCAGAAGCAGGUCUCGCUCUUAACAGGUGAUUGUUACAAUGAAGGAGGUCUGGUUUAUAACGAAAAUUGUCUUAAUUUUUAAACUAGUUUUUAAUAAAUCAGGAAUAUUUCUUGAAAGUUCUAUUAGUUAUUUAACUAACGAGAAUAAUUUAAGUUUUAUGAGGUUAAUACUAAAAUUAAUCUCAAUUAUAUAAUUUGAAUAUUUUUGUCAUAUCAGAUAGUUAUCUUAGUUUAUAUUUUACUAAUUUCAUAAAAUUACUUAAAUGAUAAUGGAUUUAUUAUCGUUGGGUUAUUUUUAAAUAUAUUUUACCUAAAUUAUUUGCUGUCUAACCAGUUUUUAUUUGAUAUAAAAAGAAAGUUAGAAAUCGAGAGCAAUGCAAGUUUAUUUUUUCCUCUUAUUCAUUAAAAAAAAACAAAUUGAUGCAAUGGUACGGUAGUCAUUUCUAAAAUAUAUCUAUAUUAUAUAGUUACUUAUUUUGAAUUGGAAUAGCGCUGGUAAAAAUGUCUUUAUUACAAUUAUGCCUUUGUUAUGUUGAACUAUUGUAAGAAGCAAAUAUAAUUACACUAAUACAUUUUUUAUUUUUAAUGUCGAGGCGUCGUGGGAUAAAUUUGAUUGGAUAAAAUAAAAAAGGAAAAUACUGGCUGGUCAAAAUCACAUUGGAGCAAAUUUCUGAAAUCACUGGAUUAUAUUAGGAGGGAGUAGAUAUGAGAGGAGAGAUUGUCAAGUUGGACAAACACUAAACAUUUGUUUUUAAAACAAAAAAAAUUAACGUGUAACUUUUAUAUCUUUCCUUUACAUGCCCGUUUACGGCCGUUUGCACCGCUUACGCUGAAGUUAACUUCAAUUUUAGGUUCGCCUUAAUAUAAUUAACUUGAUUUAAUAGGUUAAUUUUAUAAUCAUUUUAAUUAAUUAGGUUGUUUAAAUAAUAACCAAGAUUAGGUUAGUUAAUUAACUAGCUUAAUUAAAAUUAAAAAUAUAAUAAUUAACCUAAUCGUGUUGUUAAUUAUGGUGUUUUGAUUAAUUAAUUAAUUGACCUAAUUAUGUUAGUUUAAUUAGUUGAGUAAAUUACUUAAUUAGGCCAAUUAACUAUAAUUACAUAUAAAGUUAAUCUAAUUAUAUUGAGUUAAUUAAAUUAAGGCGAACCUAAAAUUUAUGUUAACUUUUAGCUAUUAGGUAGUUAUUACACAAUUAGGUAAAUAAUUAAGUUAAUUGAUUAAAAUUAAUUAACUAUCCUUAUCUUACUAUCUUAUUUAAAAGUUACAUUUUUACGUAGAUAUCUUGAAAAAUUAUACUAUUUUAUUUUCGAUAUAACCUAGUCAAUAUCUUUAAUAUUGACUAGGUUAUUUGUUGGCAAACUUAGUUUGACAAAUUAAAAAGAGAAGAAAUUUGACUAGAAAAAUGAACUUGAAAUGACAAAUUUUUCCCUAUCAGAUUUUUUUAGUAUUAUUUAUUUUUUGGACACACUAAAUGAACCUUGGCAAAGGUUCCAUACAAUCGAAUAAAAAGGGCAUCAUAGACGGCUGGGGAAUAACAAUCGAUGAUAAUUUUGGCGAGUCAAGCCCUAGACUUGGCCCAUACUCUUUUAUUUUUGAAAAGAAACUAUUUGUUACAAGUAACUACUUUUUACCCAUAGAAAACUUUUUUAUAGUUGCGCUUAUUGCCAGUUGGCCUCAAGAAGGUUGUAAUUUAUUUUUAUAUUGAGUAAAAAUGGUUUUUAAAUGGUGCACUUUAAAAUUCAAGGAAAAAAAAAUUUUUGGGAAUAGAUUUGUAUGUCUUGAAACGUUCUAUCCUUUUUUAAUCUAUCUACUAUAAUCAGUGUUAAUUUUUAACAAGUUUCAUGUCGAUUUUUAGUAAAUGACUUCUAGAGAUUGACCUCGCUAAAAUUAUCAUCGAUUGUCGUUCCCCUGCCGUCUUUGAUGCCGUUUUUUUUUCGAUCUUACGGUAUUUAUGACUACUAUACGGUUUUAAGAAGCAUUUGUGCAAACGGCUGUAAAUAAUAUUAAUGUCAAAAAUACAUAAAAGGAAAUAAUAAACGGUUACAAAUAUAUUUGGAAAAUGAUGUCCGAAAAGGAACAUAGGAACACAUUUGUAAAAAAGAAAAGGAUAGGAUCUAAGGAUAACGUGGAACAAUGGUCUGAAAUCUGGUAAUAUUGGAGGAUAAAGGAUAAACGUAAAAGGAUAUGUUCCAUUUUUAAAGGAUUUUGGCAUUUUUUUAAGGACGUGAAAUUAUUAGGAAUUGCAAUAUCGCUCAGAUUAUAUUUGCUGAGUGGGAUUUCGAACUUGGAAUGUGUCGCCCCCCUAAUUUAGUCUAUCUAGGAUUAGGAAAGCGAAUGCGUAGCGUUAGGACUUCGGGGAUCUUGUAUAGGAGGAUGACGCUCAGGUAUUUUCCUUUUUCCCAUGAUUUAUAAAUGUCGACGCAUUAUAUUUUACCUUUGCAUGAUAACUCUUUUUAUACUUCCCAAAAUAAAAAUAUAUGUACCAACAA
rnacentral:misc_RNA from 1 species